GGGCUCGGACCCCGACCGUGCCGAACGGCUGUGGAGCGAAACGCCCGGCUAAGACGCGCGGUCCCCGGGACCUGCCUUCCCCGCCCCCCGCCCCCAGCCUCCUCCGGGCAUCGGCACGCGGCCCUCCCCGGUCCCAGACCCGAGCCGCAGCCGCAGCUCCGGCCCCCGGCCGACGACCCGCACCGGGGCCGUCACCUGCUCUUCGUGCUGACGCGGCCGCUCGGGGCACCCGCCACCGAGAGCUGGCUGUUCAGAGGCUGUCAACUUCACCCCGCUCCACCAGGCGGAUCUGUUCCCCGGGCCCGAUUACACCGCGGCGGCGGGAAUGAUAACAAUAAUAACAACAAUAAACCAACGGAGUCGCCCAAUCGCAGGGAAUGGCCAAAGCGGCGAGCACACGGGAUCCACCAGUUCGGCUGGGUCCCCCCGCUCCCAUCCCCCGCGCGCGCAUCCCAGGGGCUCCCGGGGACGGAGGGAGGGGGCCACAGGCUGUCUAGACGGCAGCCAGCCGUCCACAGACCGCCGAGCGCGCACGCACACGCGGGCAGCCGGUGGCCGGGCGGCGGGGCGGGUGGGGACGCCGUCUCCGAGGCCCUCGGGCGGCCCUGGCCCCAGGCGGCGCUCCCUACCUCGCCCGAGCGCGGCCGAACAGCUGCAAGUUUGGCCAGUGCUGAACCAACUGCUCGAUGCAGCAAACGCCGGCUUCACAACAAAAGGGAGAAGAGCCACGUUCGCUCCCUUCCUCCCCGGGUCGGAACCCGGCACAUGACAGCAGCUACACCGCGCCGCUCCGACGCGAGUCGGGCUCCAGCCGCGCGCCCCCGAGAGCCCCCCGCGGCGUCCGAGCCUCAGGGCCACGGCCCCCCCCAGCCCGGGGCGGGGAUCGCUGCAGGGAGGGGAGCGAAGCCCGGGCAGGGGCGGGGGCGGGACGGAGGAGCGCAGACCCCCACGGAGUGGUGCGGGGGUCGGCGGCGGACGCCCCGCGGGCCGGGGCGCCGGGAGGGGGAAGGGGGCCGAUUGUCUGGGGCGGUUUUCCCGGAUUUAUCGGAAAGCAUGCGCACGUCACGCAGCCCUCCCCUCCCGGUCCCCGAAUCGAUCGCAAGCGCAGCCGACUCAAAAGGGGGACGGACGCGGGGGAUGCUCACCUCGGGGUUCCGGGGGCCGCCGCGCCAAGCCCGAGCCGGGGGUGGAGGAAGGGGCAGCGAGAGGGAAGGGAGCGGCGAGGCUCGGGAGAGCCGGCUUGUGCCGCGGGUUCGGCGCGCCCCGGCCGCCGAGGCGAUGGUGCGCCCCAGCGCAGGGACCCGGCCGAGAGGGGCGGGAGGGAAGGGACUGAGGGAGGGAGGGGCGGACGAGGGGAGGGAGGAGAGGAAGGGAAAAAACGAUCCCAGUUCUGACACCGGGAAAGGGAAUGCGGGAGAGUGA
rnacentral:lncRNA from 1 species